rnacentral:rRNA from 1 species
ACGGGUGAGUAAUACAUCGGAACGUGCCCUGUAGUGGGGGAUAACUAGUCGAAAGAUUAGCUAAUACCGCAUACGACCUGAGGGUGAAAGUGGGGGACCGCAAGGCCUCAUGCUAUAGGAGCGGCCGAUGUCUGAUUAGCUAGUUGGUGAGGUAAAGGCUCACCAAGGCGACGAUCAGUAGCUGGUCUGAGAGGACGAUCAGCCACACUGGGACUGAGACACGGCCCAGACUCCUACGGGAGGCAGCAGUGGGGAAUUUUGGACAAUGGGGGCAACCCUGAUCCAGCAAUGCCGCGUGUGUGAAGAAGGCCUUCGGGUUGUAAAGCACUUUUGUCCGGAAAGAAAUCGCACUUACUAAUAUUAGGUGUGGAUGACGGUACCGGAAGAAUAAGGACCGGCUAACUACGUGCCAGCAGCCGCGGUAAUACGUAGGGUCCAAGCGUUAAUCGGAAUUACUGGGCGUAAAGCGUGCGCAGGCGGUUGUGCAAGACCGAUGUGAAAUCCCCGGACUUAACCUGGGAAUUGCAUUGGUGACUGCACGGCUAGAGUGUGUCAGAGGGGGGUAGAAUUCCACGU